UUGGACUGUGUCCAAUUGCCCCGUGUCCAACUGAUAUACACUCGGAUGUCGUUUGUCGUUUGUCGUACAUUGAAUGUCGGAUCUGAAUACGACUUGCCGUUCUACAAUUGAGUCGUAAGUCGCUGCAACAAGAAAUUACAAUUACAAAAAUGGAAAGUAAAGUAUUGCUGAAUUAUUUGAAUCUGUUAUUAGUUUUGUUACAUAUUACAAAAAUUAGAUUACAUUUAAGAAAUAGACGUAAAAUAACAAGAAAGUAGUGGGUAAAACCACAUAUUUCAAGAAAUAUAAGAAACAAUUUUGGUGCUCAUCGAACAUUAUUUACAUGUUUUCGAACGAAUGAUCAUGAGGAGUUUUUUAAACUUACAAGGAUAUCCGUGCAACAAUUUGAUCACAUGAUCUUUUAAAAUUAAAGUUAAAAAAAAGAAGUAACAGAGAAUCUUUGCCAACGGAGAUACGUAUUGCAGUGACUUUGAGAUAGGAAGAUCGACUGUAUAAUAUUAUUCCUGAAGUGUGUAAUGCAAUAUGGGAAGUGUUACAAGAAACAUAUCUUUGAUGUCCACAAGAAGAGAAUGAAUGGCUAAAAAUAGCAGAUGACUUCAAUAAUAUGUGGGAUUUCUCAAAUUAUAUCGAGGCAAUUGAUGGGAAGCGAUUUUCAAAGUUUCGGAAAUGCUUUUCCACACAUCCUUUUUUUCCUAAUACUUUGAAAUCUACAUUACAUUUAUCAUAUAAACAAUAAUUUUCGUGCACAAAAUCAAUAAUUAUUUCAUCUAGAUUUGUAUAUUCCAUGAUGAAAAUAAGAGGUUAUAUUGUAUAUAAUAGUCGUACAAUCGAAAGUCGGAUAUCGGAAAAGAUGAGAGUUGACCAACUCUUGUUACGAUAACGACAACCGACUUCCGACAGCUUUAUACGACAGCCGAGAACCGAGUGUGCAUGCGUCCGACAUCCGACGCCGACAUACGACGCAUUGUAGAACAGGCCUUAGUGUCACAUAGUGUCCGAUAUACGAACGUAUGAUAUCCAAUAAAAAAACAUCUUUCCAAUAAAGGAUUGAAGUCUCUAUGAGAAAGAUUA